AAAACAGGUCCCCAUCGAAGAAGUAAAACCAAACUAGAGCAGUUGGGGGUUAGGUGGUUUGCCUUCUCUCCAUCUAACUCUUCUUGCUGGCUGCUUCUACUGCUGUUGUCCAUUCCUUUCUAACAUCUAAAAGUAAAACCUCUUUCUCUUCACUCCAGUUUUCUCCUCGUUUUUAACGAAAGGAAAAACAACCCCCAUAACACAAAACGAAAGACAAUGCUGUCAAUUAGAUCAACCUUUAGAUCACAACUAAGACUGAGUUCUGUCACUCUCUCCUCGUUAUGUUAUUCAUCGUCAUCAGCUGCAGCAAUUCAAGCGGAAAAAACUAUCAAAGAUGGUCCCAGGAAUGAUUGGACACGUCAAGAAAUCAAGGAAGUUUAUGACUCUCCUCUUCUUGAUCUCCUCUUUCAUGGGGCUCAAGUUCAUAGAUAUGCUCAUAAUUUUAGAGAAGUUCAGCAAUGUACUUUGCUUUCUAUAAAGACUGGUGGGUGUAGUGAGGAUUGUUCUUAUUGUCCUCAAUCUUCAAGGUAUAAUACUGGACUCAAGGCUCAGAGGCUCAUGACUAAAGAAACUGUUAUCGAGGCUGCUAAAAGGGCAAAAGAGGCUGGUAGCACACGUUUUUGCAUGGGUGCUGCUUGGAGAGAUACGAUAGGAAGGAAGACCAACUUUAACCAGAUUUUAGAUUAUGUGAAAGAAAUCAGGGGUAUGGGCAUGGAGGUUUGCUGUACCUUGGGCAUGCUUGAGAAGCAGCAGGCUGCAGAACUGAAGAAGGCUGGUCUUACAGCUUAUAACCAUAAUCUUGAUACCUCAAGAGAAUAUUACCCAAACAUCAUCACUACAAGAUCCUAUGACGAACGCUUGGAAACCCUUGAACAUGUCCGUGAAGCAGGAAUUAGUGUCUGCUCAGGGGGCAUAAUAGGGCUUGGAGAAGCAGAGGAAGACCGAGUUGGUUUAUUGCAUACAUUGGCAACCCUCCCUACACACCCAGAGAGUGUUCCAAUCAAUGCAUUGGUUGCAGUGAAAGGCACCCCUCUACAAGAACAAAAGCCAGUUGAAAUAUGGGAGAUGAUUAGAAUGAUUGGCUCUGCACGUAUAGUUAUGCCAAAAGCAAUGGUCAGAUUAUCAGCUGGGAGAGUGAGUUUCUCAAUGGCCGAGCAGGCUCUGUGCUUUCUUGCUGGUGCAAAUUCCAUCUUCACUGGCGAGAAGCUACUGACAACCCCCAACAAUGAUUAUGAUGCAGAUCAACUUAUGUUCAAGGUUCUCGGUUUGAUUCCAAAAGCACCCAGCUUCUCUGCCGAUGAAGAGAAGGCUUGUGCUUGUGAAGCAGAGCGUUGUCAGGAAGCAGUUUCUAGUAGUUCAGGUUGAAAUCACUUGUUCGAACAGAGUUUGUAUCUAAAUUUCAUCUAGGUUCUUUUUACCUUCAAUGAAAAUCUGCUCGCCUAUGGCGUGUAACAAAUUUGAACUGCACUAGAUGGGUUCAAAGAACCUAGCAAAAGCGCACGUGUUAGUAUUUUGCAGCAAUCUAUUAUGGUAACAUCAAGAAUGCAUAGCAAGGUGCUGCAACUUUUUACUUCGUUGCAGUAUUAUUGCCAUGUUGUGUUUA